rnacentral:rRNA from 1 species
CCCUUAGAUGUCCGGGGCUGCACGCGCGCUACACUGAAGGAAUCAGCGUGCUAAAACCAUUGUCGAAAGGCAUUGGUAAACCCAUUAAAAUCCUACGUGAUUGGGAUCGGGAAUUGCAAUUAUUUCCCUUGAACGGGGAAUUCCCAGUAAGUGUGGGUCAUAAGCUCGCGUUGAUUACGUCCCUGCCCUUUGUACACACCGCCCGUCGCUGCCCGGGACUGAGCCGUUUCGAGAAAAGCGGGGACUGCUGCUGUCGGGGCUUUCGGGCCUUGGCUUCGGUGGAAACCGCUUUAAUCGCAGUGGCUUGAACCGGGCAAAAGUCGUAACA